rfam:Ensifer sp. YIC4027 scaffold9, whole genome shotgun sequence.
AUCGCCGAUGCGAAGCUGCCGGACAUGCAGGCCGGCUGGGAGCAGGCGAUCUCCAACGUCAUGGCCGGGCUUUCGGGGCUGAACAUGGUCUAUGAGGCCG